UUUCCGUAGGUGAACCUGCGGAAGGAUCAUUAACGAGUAAGGGUCUUCCAGUUCCGACCUCCCCACCCUAUCUUUUUUAAACCUCUGUUGCUUCGGUGGACCCGCCUCACCGCCACCUGAAUACCGCUAAAUGGCGUUCUCUAACCGGCGUCCGCCGUUGGUCAACCACUUAAACUCUGCAUUAUGCGUUUCAUAUGUUUUAUUCUUUGAUUAAAUUAAAUCAAAACUUUCAACAACCGAUCUCUUGGUUCUGGCAUCGAUGAAGAACGCAAAAUAUCG
rnacentral:misc_RNA from 1 species